rnacentral:rRNA from 1 species
GACGAACCGUGCGAACGUUAUUCGGAAUCACUGGGCUUAAAGCGCGUGUAGGCGGGUCGGCGCGUCGGACGCUGAAAUCCCCCGGCUCAACCGGGGAAGUGGCGCCGAUACGGCCGGCCUGGAGGGACGUAGGGGGGGCUGGAACUUCCGGUGGAGCGGUGAAAUGCGUUGAGAUCGGAAGGAACACCCGUGGCGAAGGCGGCCCUCUGGCUCGACCCUGACGCUGAGGCGCGAAAGCGUGGGGAGCGAACGGG